rnacentral:rRNA from 1 species
GACGAACGCUGGCGGCGUGCUUAACACAUGCAAGUCGAACGGAAAGGCCCUGCUUUUGUGGGGUGCUCGAGUGGCGAACGGGUGAGUAACACGUGAGUAACCUGCCCUUGACUUUGGGAUAACUUCAGGAAACUGGGGCUAAUACCGGAUAGGAGCUCCUGCUGCAUGGGGGGGGUUGGAAAGUGUCGGCGGUUGGGGAUGGACUCGAGGCUUAUCAGCUUGUUGGUGGGGUAGGGGCUUACCAAGGCUUUGACGGGUAGCCGGCCUGAGAGGGUGACCGGCCACAUUGGGCCUGCGAUACGGCCCAGACUCCUACGGGCGGCAGCAGUGGGGAAUCUUGCACAAUGGGGGGAAGCCUGAUGCAGCAACGCCGCGUGCGGGAUGACGGCUUUCGGGUUGUAAACCGCUUUCGCAUGUGACGAAGCGUGAGUGACGGUAAUGGGUAAAGAAGCACCGGCUAACUACGUG